AUUUUGUGAUUUGCACUGGCUGAGAUCUGGAACAAGACAAAGCACAGCUGUGAAUUUGCUUUCUCUUCUCUAUACAACAUGACUUGCUGGCAGCCUGACUGCUUCACAGAUGAACUGUCAACCCCUCUGGGAGCCUGUCUUAGAAGACUUUUCUCCAACCAAUUGCAAGCAGGAGGAAGACCACCAAAUGGAUAUUAGAAUGGAGACCUAGCUAGCACCCAGCAGAGACAGGACUGGGCAAGGAAUGCCAGGGAAGGGAAUAUUCAGACCUCCUGGAAAAGAUUGGAUGUGCUGAGAGGGACUAAAACUACCACAGAAGCAGCAAUGAAAGCAACAGCAGUCUUUCUCAAGACAAGUCUACAAAAUGAUACUCCAAAAUAUGGAAGUCUCGAGCCUUCAGAUAACAAUUCUGGCUAUCCUGCUAUAGAAAAUCCAAGAAGAAUCUCUCAAACUACAAAGAAAAGAAAAGGUGACUAAAGAUGACUGUCUCUGGCCUUCCAACC